rnacentral:tRNA from 1 species
GCAGUGGAGAUUCAGUGGUAGAAUUCUUGCCUUCCAUACAAGAGACCCAGGUUCAGUUCCUGGCCAAUGCA